rnacentral:lncRNA from 1 species
UCCGCGUACCGGUAUUCUCUCGGACCGGUACGUACUGCUCAUAUCGAGCGGUACACAUCGAAAUUGAGAACCCUGAUCAUAGUAUACUUUAUGCAGACUAUUCAUAUUUCAGAAUUUUUAAUUUUUCCUUCUGUAGAUCUAUCAUCAUUUAUCACUAAAUAUAAAUACUUCUGUCUCUUUUUUAUGUUUAAAUUAUUCUUUAAGCCAAAAUGAAUAGCAGUCCGACAUGGUCGAUUCACUCUGCUCGAGAUCAGUUUCAUAUGUUGAUCUUAAUCCCUUGAGCCUUGGCAAUAAGUGAUCUCUCUACGCACAAGGUUCAGCAAUUAGUUUGUUCUAUAACAUGUAUGCCAAACAUACCAUUUAUAUAGGAACAAGCUACAUAAAUAAAACAAAAGACAAUAUACUAAAGCAGUGCACAAAUAUGAACUUAAAAAUUGGUUUUGUUAAAGCAACCGAAAAAUGUUAUACACAAUCCAACAUAAAUUUGUACCAUGUUAUCAACUAUUAAGUGUAACUCUGAUCCAACUUUUAGAUAAGUGCAAUAAUUGCCAAGCCAAAUUAUAAUCUAGAAUCCCUAACAGACAUGCAAUUGACUUCUAUCUAUUAGUUAGGGUUUUUCAUUAGUUAGGUUAGGAAGAAGAGAUCUCAGGUAACCAGCUAGCUAUGCUUUACCAAACUGUAUAUAUGAAUGAACGAUGGAACAAGUAUUAUCAAUGUUGUAAUUCUACGACGACGCAUGCAUAGCAUGGGUCUGUAGCUAGUUUUUUAUUGUACACUAAUAUCCCCAUACCUGUAAAGUCAAAGUCACAUUCUAGAAUUCCUUUCUAUACUUUUAGUAGCAAAAACAAAAAAAGGAUAGCCAAACAUCAGUCAAGACGGUAGUAUGUUGUAAGAAAGCAUCAUUGCAGGUAAAACAAG